rnacentral:snoRNA from 1 species
CUCCUUCUGUAAUUCAUAAGCGUGAUGACCAUGUGCUCACGCCGCUGAGGCCUGUGCCUCCCUCAACCUAGUUACCACCUUGACACGUGCCCUGUCUGACA